CUCUGGGGGUGGCAGGAGAGAGUCAGGGAGGCACGGGGGACCCCGAGGGCCCUCAUCGCUGAGCCUCGGUUUCCACAUCUCUGAAAUGAGGGGUGUGCACCUCAAAGGGACGGAUAGCGAAUCUUUUGAUCUAUAGACGAAUUAAGUCACAGCAACACGGUCAUACUGUGUUUUCUAAGCUGCAUGACAUCAUCAAAUAACUGCUUAGGAACAAUGUAUUUAUCAAUUCAUUUAACUCCACAAGAUCCCUGUGAGGGACAUUUCAUCAUAGCCGUUUUACAGAUGAGGAAACGGGCCGAGAGGCAGGCACGGGACCGUCCGGCACAAUCCAUCCUUGCCACCUUCCAUGAAAUCGGACUGGAGCACAAAACUGCCCAGGUAGAGGCCACCUUGUCUCAGCACUCCCCCGACACCUCCCUCCUGAGAUGAGGCGUGGCCCUGUCCACACCAGGUUUCCAAGGGAAAAAGAGCCAAGCGAUGGGGGUAACGGUCGCCUCACUUGUUUGGCAACGGCUCGUCCCGGACUCGGUCCCUUUCCCCUUCUCCCCGUGACCCGGCACGUGGACGUGCCAUAACUCACUUUCAAUCAUGAAAGCCAGGACAACACCCAGAGGCUGUCCCACGCCCUGGACUGCUCACCUCAGUCCCUCCUCUCUUCUCUAAUUCAUGGUAAGCAGCCUAGCUUUGGUCGUGAUGCACCAAGGUCGCCCAGCGCGGUGGUGGACGGGCCCGGCGGUAGACUCCAGGUUCUAAUACAUCACUCUAUGUGCCAGGCCCUGUCUCCAGGUACCAGGGUUGAAGCAAUGAACGAAACCACCAAGGAUGCCCACCCAAAGGUGGAUCUCUUAAAAACGUCCUUCCUGUCAUCACCCCCUGCUCCAAGCCCUCCACGGCUUCCCACGGCCAUCAGGAUAAAGGCCACUCUGCUCUCUGUGGCUUUCAAAAUCGUACACAGUGAGGCCCCUGCAGCCUUCAGUGUCACCUGUGUCCUUCCCUGCACUCACUCCCCGGGACACUGCCUGACUGUGACCCUCAAGCAGGACAAACUCUCUGCUGCCUCAGGGCCAUUGCACAUGCUGUCCUCCCUGUCUACAGCGCUCUUCUGGAUCUGAAGCCGCCUCUCCAGAAAAGCCUUCUCCAAUCAAUGCCCCAUGGAAGCCUUCGGAUCUGAACUCAAAUACGCACCGCUUCAGGAAGCCCUCCCCGGCCCUCACUCUGGCUCUGGGCGUCUGCAGCUCUGUCGGCUUCCCCCAUCCCAGCCCUGACCGCUCUGGGUUCUCACUCUCCACUUCCUCUGCGCUUCCUCGCUGCUGAGUCUUCUGCAGUGCCCGGGACCCGUAAAGAUGAGGAAACUGAGGCUCAGGGAGGUGAUGCUGCUUGCCCAGGGUCUCACAAGCUGGGAAACGGCAGAGCAGGGAGUGAGGGUCCCAGACUACAAUCCCAGGAGCCAGGAGCCUAACCUGUGCUCGUUGCCAGCCUGACAGCGAACGCUGCCACCCCAUCACCACCACUGCCACCAUUUCCAGAAGCACUGGCACUGGGACAGGCGCUCCCGGUACCCACGGCCCCACUGUCCCCAGCACCCCCGUCUCUACCCGCCACGAGCACCCCUACAGCCACAGUUUUCCCACACACCGGCACCUCCGUCGUCCCCGCCAAGCCCAGUACCUACCACGUCGCCCUUACGCCCACACGACGCCGACGCCGACAACCUACCCACAGCCACCGCCAAUAGCAACACCGAUAUGUGAUGGCCAACACCCACGACAAUGAUAACACUAACAUCGACCGCUCAGACUCCAUCAUCAAUAUCGCCACCGGCGCGAUCGCCAUCGGGUCCGCCAUCUUUGCCAACGUCAUCCCCACUCCAUGGUCCUCCUUCGUGCCGGCACUUCCCCGCGAGCGGCCGCAGCAUAGCCUUCAACACCGUUAUCGCCAACACCGGCCCAAUGCCGGCGUCGUCGUACUGCCUUCCCCGCCACCCCUACCAUCACCGCCUCAGAGUUGUCUCCCGUUAAUUCGAAACAUCUCCUUGCCUCCGGCCUCUCUGUCCGCUCCCCGGGCUCCCGUAAGUCGGGUAGGGCCAGAAACAGUCUUGGGUUCCCCAGGCCCUUUGUGCACCUUGCAGCACAGAGAGGGGAGGUGAGCAGGCUUCUUGCCAAGACGCCAGGCCUCUUGCCCCUCCAGGAGGGACCCUUGGCCGGACCCUCCCGCCCGUGCCAGUAAGCCUCUAUACCUCCCUCCACUCUAGGAGCCACACUCUACCAAGCCCCCGUCCCUGCCCCCAUCCCCUGGCCUCACUCACAGGUACUGCAGGUGGGACAGGCCCGCAAAUGCAUCGUCCUCAAUCACAGAGAAGGAGUUGGAUGUGAAGAGGCUGGCAAGGGAGCAAGAAAGAAUUUUUGCAGAGUUGCUGCCCCCUCUCUGACAUUUUAACCUCGGCCUCCACCCUCAACCCAGGUGGGCACUGUCUCACACACACACACACACACGCACACACACACGGUGCUUUCACAGCCAUGCACAUACACGUAUGUGUGCACCCCCCCCCACGCACCUGCGUGAACACCCACCCACUCC